rnacentral:lncRNA from 1 species
UGGAGGCUCAGAUGCAGCAGGCCGGAAGGUGUAACUGUGGCAGAGGGAGGGGGAGUGCCAGCACCUGGGGAGGUGGAGUUGAGAAGGCUGGUAUGAACACAGAGACAUGGGAUCAUGGGCUGUGAUGAAGGGAGACUAGGUAUUUCAAAGUGUGAGGAAGAGGAUUCAAAAUCCAUGCUGAGCUCCCUGAGUUUGAAGAACAGGGUCCCUGAGGUUUCAUUGUAGGAUCAUAGAAGAUAUGAGUAUAAACAUUGCAGUGGAUAUAUUGUUUAAAAAAUGCUUCUGGUUAGGACUUGGUCAAAAGUGAAAUAAUUAGAAUGCUGGAAGUUUAAGUUGGCAGAAAGAUUAUGAAUUGCUCAUCUAUCACCCAGCUGUUCAUUGUUUGUAGAAGAGAAGUUUUCAGUGUAAUAGAAUCUACUGAAGAUUCCCAAAUUUCUUUAGUGAGUGACAGGUUUAGAGAAAAUGAACAUAUUUUUGUCUUAUUUAUCAUCAAAUUUAAUAUAAAAUAGGACCAUGAAUUUAUUUUCAUGCUCCUGAUUACUUCUUUUCAGUUGGAUAAAAUCAGGCCAAGAGCAUACUUUCAUAAUUUAUUAUUCUAAAUUUUCUUUUGUUGUAUAAAUUUAUGUUAUUUAAUAACAUGUUUAGCAUUAUAUACAAAGAGAAAAAUAAGUGAUAUAGGUAACAUUUUAACAUAUGCAUCAGAAAGUAUGUUGUGUAUUCACAAUGGUGUAUUAGUAUCCAUCCAUAGACAAAGGUGGGAUCCUGUCAUGUCCAGCAAAAUAGAUGGAACUGAAUAAUGUAAUGCUAAGUGACAAAAGACAAACCCAGAAAGAGAUAUCACUUGCUGUCUAUUAGACAUGGCAGAUGGAAUAAAACUGAUGUAAAAGUAGAGUUUUCACUCUGUCUGAGAAUGGUUCUGGGGCAUCAAGAGUGGAAGAAGGGUUGUUGGACAUGAUCAGUACAUGUGCAUGCUUAUAUGAAAAUAUCACAUCAAAUCUUAUUAAUACAUACAGUGGAUGUGUGUUAAGAAAAUUCAUCAUUUCCCAUAAUUACUUCAUUCUGUAAUAGGAAAAUCUAAACUUUUACUAUCUUUGGAAUAUCUAGUAUAUUGGACACUAUUAUUAAGGAUUGUUCUGUAGUAACCACACAUUCUCUGUGCAUUCAAAAUUUCCCCCAGAUUCCACACAUAGAGUAUGCAAAAUAUUUCUCUCUGUGUCUGGAUCAUUUCACUUACCAUGAUGUUCUCCAGCUUCAUCUAUGUUAUUUUAAAUGGCAGCAUAAUCUUUCCUUUUGUUAGUGGGGUUUGAACCUAGGGUUUCCUUGCCCCUGAGAUGUAUCCACAGUCUUUUUGUUGUUAUUGUUGUUGUAGUUACUGGGGAUAGAAAUCAACUUCUGAGCCACAUCCCCAGCCCUAUUUUGUAUUUUAUCUAUAGACAGGUUCUCACUGAGUUGUUUAGCACCUCACUUUUGCUGAGCUUCGCUUUGAACUCAUGAUCCUCAUGCCUCAGCCUCCUAAGUUGCUAGGAUUACAGGUGGGUGCCACUGUACCUGGCCCCAGUCAAUUUUAAUUUUUACUUUUAAGAUAGCACUUGGCUAAAUUCAUGAGGCUUAACUUGAACUUUUACCACUGCUUCCACCUAUAGAAUCCUUCUCUAUAAAAGUUAAAAAAUAAGUCAGGUGUGGUGGCACAAGCCUGUAACCCAAGGUACUCAACAGGCUGAGGAAGGAGGAUCACAAAUUUGAAGCCAUUCUCAGCAUCAUAGUGAGACUCUCUGCAUCUUUAAAAGACCCUGCCUUAAAAUGAUCUUAAAAAACUAAAAAUUGUAUAUAUGUAUGCAUGAUACCCUGGAGAAUACAGGAAUAUUCUGGUAUAGGUUUUGUAAGGAGGUCAUGGAUUGGGGCAUUAGGAUUGUCUUCCCCCAACACUAGUUUUAGUUCUUUGGAGAUGCAUUGUUGGUCAGCCACUUAGCUUCUCAUAUUGAAAAGGAAGGCAGAGUUUCUCCUUGUUCUUGGGUUUUCAGAGUUGGGAAAGGAGAUAAAACAAUUCUAAGGAAGUCAAAAGAUUAUCCCAGAGAAUUUUCCAGGUGCUCAGACAGGAGGGCCCAGCACAGUGCCUCAUGGUGGGAAGAUCAUUCAAUACUUAGGUAAGCAGAAUAAUUGUGGAAGAAUUUCCCAUUUGAUAGGAUGACUUGACCCUGAGCCAGACACAUUUUAGUUCCAGGCAGCAGUGCCUAUCUCUGGGUUUUUCAAGGCUCAGCUUUAAAUAUCUGUUGUUGCUUGACUGCGGAGUAUCCAGCUAUCCACAGGCCAUUGUCCAUGAACUAGCUUUUAUUAGUGAAGAGGCCCAGUCUGGCUCAAUGAUAGGCUCCUGAAGCAAAUCCCACUUGUUGAAGAGUCCCCAAGCUCUCUGAGCAGUCAUACUGUGUUGGCCCAUGACCUUCUGCUGGCACAGAUUGCUUGACUUAAAGUGGGCAUUGUUCUCUUGAGGCUGACAUUUGGAGUGUUUAAUAGGAUGGCCUGGAGUCUUUCUACCCUCCCAGCAGCCCGCGGAUACACAUCUUUCUGUUUGAGCAACAUGAGGACUCAACACACAAGAGUAGUGGGUUUUCUUAGAGUGGGUUUCUCAACCUCUUGAAGUAAAUCGCAGGUGGCCAUCAUGCCACGAAAGCAGAGGACAGUUCUUUUACUGUGUUCAAGUUGUUUUCACAGAUAGGAUACUGGUUGCAGUGUCACCAGUGUCCAUAGGAGAACUCUAAAGGCUGUAUUUUCUUUCUUGUUCAUAUAUAGUCUUUUUGUAAAAAAUUAUUCUAACUAGUUAUACAUGACAGCAGAAUGUGUUUUGAUUCAUUGUACAUAAGUGGAGCACAAAUUUUCAUUUCUCUGGUUGUACAUGAGUCACUCCAUAUGUGCAGUUAUACAUGUACCUAGGUUAAUGAUGUCCAUCUCAUUCUGCCAUCUUUCCUAUCCCCAUGCCCACUCUCCUCAUCUCCCUUCCAUUUGUACAGUUUCUCCAUUCUUCCCCCCUACACCCCCAUAUGGAUCAGCAUCCACUUAUCAGAAAGAACAUUUGGUAUUUGGGUUUUUGGGAUUGGCUUACUUCUCUUAGCAUGAUAGUUUUCAGUCCAUCCAUUUUACCUGCACAUGCCAUAAUUUUAUCUCUUAAUGCUGAGUAAUAUUCCAUUGUACAUAUAAUACUACAGAUUAUUUACCUGCUUGUCUAUUGAAGGACAUCUAGGUUGGCUCCACAGUUUAGAUAUUGUGAAUUGAGCUGCUAUGAACAUUGAUGUGACUGCCUCACUAUAGUAUGCUUAUUUUAAAUUCUUUGUGUAUAGACUGAGGAGUGGGAUAGCUGAAUCAAGUGGUGGUUUCAUUCCAAGUUUUCUAAGGAAUCUCCACACUACUUUCCAUACUGGGUACACCAAUUUGCAGUGCCACCAGCAAUGUAUGAGGGUACCUUUUUUCCCACAUCCUCACCAACAUUUAUUAUAAUGGCAUAAUGUAUAAUGCCAUUCUGACUGGAGGAAUGAAAUAAAAUCUUAUAGUAGUUUUGAUUUGCAUUUUUCUAAUUACUAGAGAAGUUGAACAUUUUUAAAAAUAUAUUUGUUGAUCAAGUAUAUAUCUUCUUCUGAGAAGUGGUCUGUUCAGAUCUAUAGUCCAUUCAUUGAUUGGGAUAUAUAUAUAGAUAGAUAGAUAUAUAGAUAUAUAAUGUUUAUAAUUUAUAUAUGUGUGUGUGUGUUAAGGUUUUUGAGUUCUUUUAAUAGCCUGCAAAUUAGUGCUAUAUCUGAUGUCCUUGUAGUAAAGAUUUUUCUCCCACUCUGUGGGCUCUUUCUUCAUGUUAUUGUUUCAUUUGCUAAGAAGAAGAUUUUUAGUUUGAAUCUAUCUCAUUUAUUAAUUAUACAUUUCUUGUGCUUUAGGAGUCUGGUUAAGAAGUCAGGAAUUAAUAUGAGUUGGUGAAGAUUUGAGCCUACUUUUUCUUCUAUUAGGUGCAGGGACUCUGGUCUAAUUUUUAGGUUCUUGAUCCACUUUGAGUUGAGUUUUGUGCAUGGUAAGAGAUAGUGUUUUAAUUUCAUUUUGCUACAUAAAAUACUUGGGAAUCAAUCUAACAAAAGAGAUGAAAGACCUAUACAAUGAAAACUACAGAACACUAAAGAAAGACAUUAAAAAAGACCUUAGAAGAUGGAAAGAUCUUCCAUGUUUGUUUUUUUUUUUUUUUAGAAUUUUAAUGUUUAUUUAUUUUAGUUCUCGGCGGACACAACAUCUUUGUUUGUAUGUGGUGCUGAGGAUCGAACCUGGGCCGCAUGCAUGCGAGGCGAGCGCACUACUGCUUGAGCCACAUCCCCAGCCCUCUUCCAUGUUUUUGGAUAGGAAGAAUUAAUAUUGUCAAAAUGGUCAUACCAUCAAAUGCAUUAUACAGAUUUAAUGCAAUUCUGAUUAGAAUCCCAACAACAUUCCUCAUAGAAAUAGAAAAGGCAAUCAUGAAAUUUAUUUGGAAAAAUAAGGGACCCAGAAUAGCCAAAGCAAGAAGAGUGAGCAGGAGGCAUCACCAUACCAGACCUUGAACUGUACUAAGAGUUACAGUAACAAAACGUUAAAGUAUUGUCAUCAAGAUAGAUACGUAGAACAAUAGGACAGAAAACACAAUGGCAAACUCAGACAAAUACAGUUAUCUCAUACUAGACAAAGGUGCCCAAAACAUACAUUGGUGAAAAUAUGGUGCUGGGAAAUUCAUAUAUAGUCUUAAUGCCUUUGUGAGUCAGGCAGGCCUAGGGUAAAGGCUGUCAUGAGGCUUUGCUUUAACCUCUCAAAAGUUGCUUGAAAAUAUGGUGUAGAAGUCAAAUAUUUGAUUUCUAUUCUUUUUAGGGCUUAAUGCGAAUAUGUAUCUAUUACUAAAAUUAGGAACCCAAAUAUGGCAGAGCCAUAACAAUCUCUGGCACAAUAUAACUGUCUCUGAUCCUGACGUCUUAAUAUAGCCUACUUUCAAUGUGACAUAUAAACUCAAGUUCAUUGGAUAACCUGACUUUUUUACAAAUUGGGAUUUUGGUGGAUGCCUCAUUUUCACAUGAAGAGGGCGGUUUAGAACAGCAGAAGUAUUUCAGAGGUGCUGUUCUUGAUUGCAGAUGGCUCUAAGCAGGUCAUUCACAUGUUGUGGGACGUUACAGGUUAAAUCACAAGGUGAGUCUUGAAACAAGACAUGAGACAUUAUUCACCAGCAGGCCAGAAGGGCAGCAAGCAAGUGACCCCUGUAAACUUAGAACUCUUGCAUAAGGCAGGGUGCAUCCUUACAGCAAAAAUGUGCAAGCCAUGAGUAAGUCAAAACCAUAGCAACAUAAGAAGUUGGUUAAAAUGACAAGUAGAGUCAGGGUACAUUGCCAAAAAGAUAAGGUGGGGGGAACCAAAAAAGAAAACAAUUUUACAUUGUACAAGAAUAACAGAAACAUUUCCCCAAGCUGUGUGGUUCUAAGCAGGCUGUGUUAAGCAGAAUCAGGAUUGCAGAGAGUUUUGUCACAGGAGAAUAAUUUUGUACAUAAAAUGGAAUUUCAGGCUAACAGAAAGUUUGGUCAAGCCACAUAUAACCUGGACCAAGGCAUUUCCCCCUUUUCUAGAAACAAUUAAAUGUUUGAUUCACUUUCCAGGUGAGGUAUGGGGUUGUGAUGGCCAUUCCUAUACAUUAACUUUACUGAAGAAAUGCACUGUUUAAUGAACUUAAAAGGGCAUUUUAAAAUGCAGGUGCCUAAUGUAUAAUCCUAUAAACAUCAGGGCUAUGGGUUCAACCAGGUCAGUGAGAAGGGUAGUUAGCCAGGCAUUCUAGUUAAACUGUCUCUGGAAUAUAGACUCAUUUUGUUCUCAUUCUCAAUUUCAUCUUGAAUAUUUUACCUUGGCUAGGGAGCUUUGAGGAUACCACACUUAUUCAUAUAAAAACAGCAGGCCUCUUUCAGGGCUGCACAGAGUCCCCCUUGGGACAUGAACAGAGGUCUAAACCUCACCUGUUUUUGAAGAAUCACUUCAGUCAGAGAUUGAACCUGGUCAUAAAGGUGGUUAAUAGCUUGUUCUAAAUGAUCUAGGUCUUCCUUACUUCUUGAGUCAGGACAGAAAGGCAUAGUUCACCUUCUAUUAAGGCCACAAUUCCCACCACAGUUGAUCCUGCCACAGCUCACCCUAAGAGGGCUGGAAUAAGAAUGCAGACUGCUCUUUUGACCUAGAAAACAUCUCUAGUUAAAAGGAGGUGAGUGCCUUCUGGCCCACUGUAGGCAUAAACCUGGGGCAAUACCUGUCCCAUAAUGCAGAUAAUUGGCUGGGGAGAUGUAGUGGGCCAGUCUGAGGUCACAAGCAAACUAUGCUUGACUGGGAACAAAAUAGGACACAGUGGGUCUUCCAGUAACAGUAUAAGAACAGAUGUCAGUGGGAAAAUCAGAUGGCUCCAUUG